GUUGGAACAAAUAUGGUUGAAUUCAUUAACCGGCCAGAGUCCACAAAACACCAUCCCUUUGUCAUGGCUAUGGGAAAUGGCCAGCAAAUCUCCCAGGCAUUUGUGAUAAUCAAUGGACAGGCUCUGGAGCAGAGCACACUGCUCGCAGCUGUAGAUCUUUGUUUCAAAGCUUUCUAUGUCUUUGACAUGAACUACCCCAAGCAGUGCGCAUCGACCUGGGAGUUCAUGCAGCAUGUCGUCUUCCAAAUAGAGGGCAAUGAAACAUCUGCAGUUCGUUUUCUUCGCACAUCCUUAUUCGCUGAAGAGUAACUUUAAACACUGUCUCUGUCUCUAAGAACAGCAUGUGUUAAGUUUGGAGCCCGUUCUCUGAAAGACGCUCAAUCAUUUCUCUAAAGUUUGAUUUGUAAUCCAGGAUAAACUUUAAAUGGUGCUCUUUCAGACAAUCACAGGCAGAAAAAGGUCUGUUAUUUUUUUUAUUAAUUAAACUCAUAUACAGAUAUUUGUUUGAAUGUUUCAGUUGAUGCAAGGAUUCUCAACCAACAAUGUUUUUUUUUAAAUAAUAGACUUGUGUGUCUUAUGAUGUAGUCAGAUUCUCUAGUCACAUUUCUUUACAUCACUGAUGUAACUCACAAGUCUGUGUAUGUGGAGUAAAACUGGAAUGUUAUUUUAAAUCCUUUGAAAAUGAAGCACUUUGAACAAAUGUAUCAGUCUCAUAGGAACAUGUGUGUUGUAAUAAACAUUAGUAAAAUGUUAAAAUGUUAGUCUUCAU
ensembl:lncRNA